CCUACGGGUGGCAGCAGUGGGGAAUAUUGGACAAUGGGGGGAACCCUGAUCCAGCCAUGCCGCGUGUGUGAAGAAGGCCCUCGGGUUGUAAAGCACUUUCAGUGAGGAAGAACGCCUGGUGGUUAAUACCCAUCAGGAAAGACAUCACUCACAGAAGAAGCACCGGCUAACUCCGUGCCAGCAGCCGCGGUAAUACGGAGGGUGCGAGCGUUAAUCGGAAUUACUGGGCGUAAAGCGCGCGUAGGUGGCUUGAUAAGCCGGUUGUGAAAGCCCUGGGCUCAACCUGGGAACGGCAUCCGGAACUGUCAAGCUAGAGUGCAGGAGAGGAAGGUAGAAUUCCCGGUGUAGCGGUGAAAUGCGUAGAGAUCGGGAGGAAUACCAGUGGCGAAGGCGGCCUUCUGGACUGACACUGACACUGAGGUGCGAAAGCGUGGGUAGCAAACAGGAUUAGAUACCCUAGUAGUC
rnacentral:rRNA from 1 species